CACCAUUCAUCUUUGCAUCCUGAAUACCAGUUUUAAAAACAUUCAAAAAGAAACUUUUUAAAAACUCAUAUAAUGUGGAGUUCCUUGUGGCACCCAAGGUGUUAACGUCUGCUGGAGUUGACUUGGCGCAGAAAACUGCUGACCCCGAGGAGUUGGAACACCCUGAUGACAAGGUGUUCUUCCAGCUCGGGCACAGGAGAGCCUUGCUGGUGAAACAAGGAGAAACAUCCGGGCACAAUUUGAUAAAGGGCACUAUUCUCUCUGCAACACUGCAGUAUCACACUGUUACAUUUGACAAAUUACAAACUACAACUAGCUGACAUGAGAAGAUAAAAAAUGUUGGGGAAGAAGAAACAAAGAAAUAGAAGCGUAUUGUGCCUGUGAGGAAUACUUUUGAGAUCACAUAACAGAAAAGCAUUGUGUUUGUGUUGAAAGAAAAAAGUAGAGGAAAAGAGCCUCACAAAUCAAGUCUACUCCUUUUUUUAUUUUGAAAGCAAAAAACCUUCAGA
rnacentral:lncRNA from 1 species